rnacentral:rRNA from 1 species
UACGGAGGGUGCAAGCGUUAUCCGGAUUCACUGGGUUUAAAGGGUGCGUAGGCGGAUAUGUAAGUCAGUGGUGAAAUCUCCGGGCUUAACUCGGAAACUGCCGUUGAUACUAUAUGUCUUGAAUUUUAUGGAGGUAAGCGGAAUAUGUCAUGUAGCGGUGAAAUGCUUGGAUAUGACAUAGAACACCGAUAGCGAAGGCAGCUUACUACAUAAUUAUUGACGCUGAGGCACGAAAGCGUGGGGAGCAAACAGG